AAAAAUCCUGGGGAAACACUGCUGUUGAGUCCUGAGAGGCAGGUCAGCUUGGUAACCAUUUGGCAGUGCCUCUAAUAAUCAAGCAAAAACUGGUCAACAGUUGGAACAACAGUCUUCAAAGAAAGUAUCACAGCCAUCAAGAUACUAAUCUCGCAACCUGCAGUUGUGCUUUGAUCUAGCAGAACACCUGGGAGGGAGAAAGCACAGAGCCUGCGCCUGACCACAGAAGCUGAAGGGAGUUACACCUUGUUCCCCGUUUGGUUUUAUUGCUCAUACUUUACAGAGGAAAACUAAUUUGCGUGAGCGAUGACUCUUUCAGCAGGGGAUUUUGAUGAGGCACAAUCAUUUCAGAGUUUAACAGCUAUUUCAAUGUUACACACAGCCAAAUAAUCAACAAAGAAUAACCGGGAGAUGAAAAUCAGAUUUAUUCCCAUAUAUAGUAAAACUGUUGACACAAAAGUGACCAAGAGUCAUUGCUAUGGGUAAAUCGGUUUCAAUAGCAAAAAAAUGUACAUUGAUAACACUCCUUCCCAAAGCUAUUGCUUUGGAGUGACCACUGGUAAGUUAUCGUUCAGAAUAGAGAAGCUAUUCAUUCCAGCACACUCUCUUCACAUAAAGAUUCAAAAAUACAUGGUUAAAUAACGAUAACUAAUGGAUGGCCAGGAUUUUGGCCACUUCACAACCAAAUAAUAUUAUCUCAACAUAAGAUAAUUUGGUUAGAUAACCAUAUUAGAUUACCUCAGUGUAAAGGACAACAAGCAGCUUCUUUUUUUGGAUCAUGGCACUAGAAAGACUAAACUAAACACAAGAGGUUGCCAUUUUUUUGUGCAAAAUUAGGACAAUCCCAUUGGCACAUUUCUCAUUCUCUUUCCCUGAGAAAUUAACUUAAAAAGUCUUGCAUACUGUGAUGUGUUCCUUGUGAUCUUGGCACUGCCACUUGGUAGUGGUAUAAAAGUUGUCACCCUCAAACCAACAAAGAGACCCGUCUCUCACUCGACGUCCGUGUCAAUAUCUUGGUCCUCGUCUGCAUUCAACGCUUCCUCCUACCGACAGAGAGGGAAAGGACAAAGGGGUUCCUUAUAUUACCGGAGAUCUUUUGCUCAGGAUCAAUUCAUUAGAAAAGAAAAAAUAGAAGCACAAAGAAUCGUUCAUUCAUUGAAAGAUUUCCAAAUAGUUAACGAGUCGUAAAAAGGAACGUGUGUGUGUGUGUGUGUGUGUGUGUGUGUGUGUGUGUGUGUGUGUGUGUGUGUGUGUGUGUGUGUGUGUGUGUGUGUGUGUGUGUGUGUGUGUGUGUGUGUGUGUGUGCAUGAUCAACAAGUGUGUGUGUGCGCUAUCCACAUACCAGAGGAUAGUGCUCUUUCAGGUACCGAGCACCGAACCCGAGAGCGCGGUUCAUUGGAUGGGUGUCCAUAGCAGACAGCCUAGUGGCCACCUGACGGAACAACAGAGGAAUGGUGCAUGGUUACAGCCAGGGGUUAAAGUCGGCCGGCCCCUCAGAUAAAUUAAUAAAUAUAUUAAAAAAAGGAGCAUGUCAGGCCCACCGUCGUCAACAUGACGAACUCGGAUAAACAAACUAGACUUGAUAACAAAAAAAUAUGGAAAUAUGUCACAUGAUAGUACAUCACAGCAGGUUUUGGAGAGGAUUUGGACGAAGAUGGAUUUAAAUUCUUCCAGGAUCAAAUCGAAAAGGCUACAUUACGCUAUGGAGGGUACAUUCAAAACUAUUAAAUACAUACGGAUGGUAACAGGCUUCAGUUGGUAUUCUAGCAUGCCGCACAGUCUGAUCCACAUUACAACCUUUUUCUUGUCCCAUUGUGGCUUCGGAGAAAGGGAUAAAAUAUACCCCAUUCUGCAGCCUCUCGGAAUACCGUUCACCCUGUUGUUUUCAAUGGAGUUGUCCGAGCCGUUGUUCGAGUAUAGUUGAGGCUGGGAUGUCAUUGGCUCAUCUGUGUUCUAAGGGCGGAGCUUAGCGACAGGUCAAUUAGAUCAUAUAUGAUCAAAUUGUAUUCCUUCUCCGAGGCUCCGGACAAUGACCCAGUUUUGGUUUAAAAAGAGACAAUGUGCAUCAAGGGGACGGCGAGGGCCAACCCUGGCAUAAGCCCUAUGGGGUUGUUUAGGGCCACAGCCGCUAGGGGGGGCCACACGAUCAGUGUGACUUUCUGUGUUUCUCGCUCCUUACACUUUGAGCGGAGAGAAGUUGCCUUGCUAAGAACUCAGUGUGUAGCCAUGGGAACGUGUGGCAAUUGCUUUGUGGCAAUAAAACUCCACUCACUCACCACUUCUUAUUAAUAAACCGAGUAACCUUACACAAAUUGCUUCCAAUGAUUUUUGAAAGUCGUGUAGCGAGUAGGACUACAGUUGAAAAUUGGCACAUUUACAGAAAUGUUGAUCAAUGUGCACUGUCCUUUAAAUAAAUAAAUAAAUGAAAUUUAGGAUCAUAGGAGAUCAAUAAUCACAAUCCUAACGUCAAUCGAUUUCCUCCCCCCCUCCGUCCGAGAUGGCCUGACAGACAGUCGACAGACAGUCGACAGACAUCAGUCAGUCAGUCAGUCAGUCAGUCAGUCAGUCAGUCAGUCAGUCAGUCAGUCAGUCAGACAGACUACCUCGCAGGUGACAGCAAUGUUGGUCUGGAUCUCGUCUGAACCCUUGGGUCCCCGGUCCCCAGGGUCGUUGGUCGGGAGGCCGAUCUUGAGGAAGAUCUUGGACAUCAAUUUGCCGAACAUGCUGUAGCUGCUCAGCAUCUCCGUGAACUUCUUGGCGCAGUCAUAAUCCUAGAGGAGAAGCCAAAAGAAGGCAUGUUUCACUUUAUUCAUGAUGUCUGUGCUGGCUGCGACCUCGCUCCUCAAUACCUAAUUUUGCCUUCUACUACAUCUGCUGAUAUGCACUUCACUUUUGGUUUGGCUUCCCAUUACUGAUUACAUUUGUAUAUAGUUCAUUUAAUAAAUGAUUGUUCUAUCCUUAUGAUCAGCGUGGUCUCCCCAUUGAUGUCAGCUCUACUUGAGCCAAGUGGUCCUGACAAUGAGCAUAGAUGUUGACUGGUAGAAAUACUUACGGUAAGUACCAUCUCAUAUUCCUCAUAAUAUUCACUUAACCAAUCCCUUCCACUGAUCACUUGUGUUCCUUUCCUAAUAGUUGAACUGUUUCAUUCAGCAAGUGUAUCUCAGAAGUACUCUCUAAUACCAAGUAGGACUUACACAGGUUCAUUACGCUUUUCAUCUAUACAUCUUCUCCCUCUCUUGGAUUUCCGUUGAGACCAAGAGAAUACUUAUUUUCUCUGUAUACGAAUAAAUUGAAUAAUUGCACAAUUCUUAAAACCUUAUAUUCCUCGACACUUAGAGUGUAGGUUCCGCCUUGAAGAUAAUUGAGAAAACAAUAGGAAAUGUAUGUUACGGUGGUAUUGGUGCCUGCCGUGGUCCUGUAUUCAUUAAUCUUUCAAACUAUUGUCAAGCAGCAGCCUGUGGGAACACCAGGCUAGCCUGAUGGUCUCAUGAUCAAAGACUAGAUAUCCAGUCACUGAGUUAGACGGCAUCAUUUUGAUUACACGUUUCCUUGGCCUGUCAGCCAUUUCAGUCUCACAUGCCAAGGAAAUGUGGUUAAUGGGUGAGAAUAGAAUCAGUGACACCACAGGAUGAACUAACCACAAGCUGACAUCACCAUCAGCUGCAGCGGUUUCUUAACUCUCAAACAAAUGUCUAAUUCCUCCCGUUAAUGCUAGAAGAGUUCACAGCUACGUGCUUUCUGAGAUACAAGCAGGUUUACCUCCAUGAAGUUCACUAGAAUUCAAGGUCUAUUGAAGUUCACUAGAAUUCAAAGGCUAUUGAGGUCUAGUGAAUUGUGGAGAUGGACACCGUAGCCCAAAAGCACCUUUAUGGGUGGGUCAAGCUGUAAAGCUCCGAAAGCCCAGAAAUUAAAACUAAACCUUCGGUGAGCUGUACUCUUAUUCCACUUGAGACUCGACAACCAGGGUUAAUGACAAAGAAAUAGAGAAAUGAGGGCCUCUUUGUGGAUGGAGACACAUUGAUUUACGCCGUUGGGGAUGUCCUCCAAGAAAGCACUGCAGUAAAAAAUUUAAAAAUAAAGGUGUUUUGAUUUGGUUCUUACCUGUUCCACCGUGUCGCCGCAUUGCCUGAGCAACAGGCCCGCCAACUUCUCUAUUUCCCCUGAACAACACAGAAACAACAUUUUGAGCUGAAAAAGUCACACACACACACACACACACACACACACACACACACACACACACACACACACACACACACACACACACACACACACACACACACACACACACACACACACACACACACACACUUUUGUGAGGUUGUGUGUGUGUCUGUGACUCUAAAAACAAAAGCCCUUACCCUCUUCUGCAUCAGACUCUAUUUCCGGAGGAAUGAAGGAGCUGUUGGCUAUCUCAAUUAGCUUGGUCGUUAGCACAUCGACACUCUUGCUUUGUUGCCAUCGCUCACCCGGGGACACGCCACUGUUCCUGAAGCCCGGCCCAGCUGGUUCUCCGUCGUCUGCUUCAGCACCCCUGGGUACACAUGAGAUUAACUCACGGAGUCGUUUCAGGAAAUUCUUCUUCUUCUUCUUUUUCUUGGGUUCUUCUUCCUCCACAGAGGAAGGAGGAACCGCAGCUGGCCCGUUAGCCGACGUCCCGUUGCCCAGGGCGACCGGUCUUGUGCUUACGGGGCGUCUCCGCUGGGCGAAGGCCCUCAUCAGGCUCAGCUCCCUGGUGUUCUCCAUGUCGACGUGCUCCGCGACCGACACCCCGUUUGGGGAGGGCAGAUCAUGGCUUGCGCCCUUAUGCUGGACGGCCAUGCUUCUAGAGAGUUCUUCUAGAGUCAAAACAGAAAAUACACGUUUCUUUAAAGGAAGGAUGUAAAUUUGAAGAAAGCACCCUCUCUCUCUUAAAAUAAUAGUUUGUUUGUACACCAUUGUUCCCAGUUCACACACACACACACACACACACACACACACACACACACACACACACGUAAAUGUAUCGUACUUUAGCAAGGUUAGGCUUAUUGUAUGCAAGCACAACCUUUAUUGAACAAGUGUGAACUGUAUCACGGGCUUGAAUACAUCAUUUAUCAUUCACUUGCAAUAAGAAAGUUGAUACUAGUUGACCUAUGCUAGUUGAAUUGAGAAUAGGUAAUUGUCAAACAUGUCCGAACUUGCUUGUCAAUUUGAGUUCACUUGGUAGUUUGCUUUUCUAGUAGAAGUGACCGCUAAAUCAUGCUUAGCUGUCAACUAACAACAACGCAGACCAAUUUGAUAAGAUUGAUUUAUCAUGAAAUCACUCGAUUUUUUCAUAAUCCUAGGUAAAGAAGGCACCACAUGAAAACUUUAAAGUGACUUAAGAUCCGAUUGAAGGACAUCUAGUCCUUCUCAUGGCAUGCAUUAAGACGGGACGGGAUACUUACCGUCAGACAGCGGAACAGAUAAUGAGCAGAUACUAAUAAAUUAAUUCCUCCAACAAGACGGUACUCCUCCGCGUGUGACUUCAGUACACUUUGGACAACGACGGACUCGAAACUGACGCUCUACCGCUAUGUUGUCAGCUCAAAUACCGUCCCAGCCGCCGCCCCUUUCUUAAACGGGACGCAGCCGUUUACUGUAAAUGUUUAGCACUGUCAUGCAAGGAGGUGGAGCUUUCGGGCCGAGGAGUUUGAAUGUGAAAGGGCUUGGAUGGAAU
ensembl:lncRNA